rnacentral:rRNA from 1 species
UACGAAGGGUGCAAACGUUGCUCGGAAUUACUGGGCGUAAAGUGUGCGCAGGCGGGCCGCGCAAGUCGAGUGUGAAAUCCCCGAGCUUAACUUGGGAAUUGCGCUCGAAACUACGUGGCUGGAGUGUGGCAGAGGAAGGUGGAAUUCCACGUGUAGCGGUGAAAUGCGUAGAUAUGUGGAGGAACACCGGUGGCGAAGGCGGGUCUCUGGGCAGUAACUGACGCUGGAGGAGCGAAAGCGUGGGGAGCGAACAGG